rnacentral:lncRNA from 1 species
GCCAAUAUAAAUUAUAAGGACUGGCUCAAAAACCUCAAGAUAGUCUUGACAUCAAAAAAGAUUGGGUAUGUGCUUUAUCAGGACAUCCUAACACUACCAGCCCAUCCUACGAUAGAGCAAAGAGUUGCUCUAGACAAGUGGACGGAUGAUGACCUAAGGGUAAAGUGCUAUAUGCUGGCUUCGAUGUCAAAUGAGUUAUAGAGUUAACAUGAGCACAUGCCCACUAUCCAUGCCAUGAUCACUCAUCUGUAAGAGUUAUACGAUGAGCAGAGCCAGACCGCACAUUUUGAAUUGUCCA